rnacentral:rRNA from 1 species
UUGACGGGACCCGCACAAGCGGUGGAUGAUGUGGAUUAUUCGAUGCAACGCGAAAAACCUUCCUACCCUUGACAUGUCUGGAAUCCCGAAGAGAUUUGGGAGUGCUCGCAAGAGAACCGGAACACAGGUGCUGCAUGGCUGUCGUCAGCUCGUGUCGUGAGAUGUUGGGUUAAGUCCCGCAACGAGCGCAACCCUUGUCAUUAGUUGCUACGAAAGGGCACUCUAAUGAGACUGCCGGUGACAAACCGGAGGAAGGUGGGGAUGACGUCAAGUCCUCAUGGCCCUUAUGGGUAGGGCUUCACACGUCAUACAAUGGUCGGGACAGAGGGUCGCCAACCCGCGAGGGGGAGCCAAUCCCAGAAACCCGAUCGUAGUCCGGAUUGUAGUCUGCAACUCGACUACAUGAAGUCGGAAUCGCUAGUAAUCGCGGAUCAGCAUGUCGCGGUGAAUACGUUCCCGGGUCUU